GGCUGGUCUGAAGGUAGUAAGUUAUCUCACUUGAUUGUUCACAGUCAGUUACAGAUUGAACUUCUACUACUUUUCCCCCUUCUUACGACUACACUUGACUAGCUCAAA
rnacentral:Y_RNA from 1 species